rnacentral:rRNA from 1 species
UACGGAGGGUGCGAGCGUUGUCCGGAAUCAUUGGGCGUAAAGGGCGCGUAGGUGGCUUCUCAAGCGUGCGGUGAAAGCCCGGGGCUCAACCCCGAGUCGGCCGUGCGAACUGGGCUCACUGGAGCAUAGUAGAGGCAGGUGGAAUUCCGGGUGUAGCGGUGGAAUGCGUAGAGAUCCGGAAGAACACCGGUGGCGAAGGCGGCCUGCUGGGCUAUGGCUGACACUGAGGCGCGACAGCGUGGGGAGCAAACAGG